rnacentral:rRNA from 1 species
CCUACGGGUGACAGCAGUGAGGAAUAUUGGUCAAUGGUCGGGAGACUGAACCAGCCAAGCCGCGUGAGGGAGGAAGGUACAGAGUAUCGUAAACCUCUUUUGUCAGGGAACAAAGACUGGGACGCGUCCCCGGAUGAGUGUACCUGAAGAAAAAGCAUCGGCUAACUCCGUGCCAGCAGCCGCGGUAAUACGGAGGAUGCGAGCGUUAUCCGGAUUUAUUGGGUGUAAGGGGUGCGCAGGCGGUCUGUUAAGUCAGGGGUAAAAGCCCGGGGCUCAACCCCGGCCCGCCGUUGAAACUGGCAGUAUCGAGUUGGAGAGAAGUAUGCGGAAUGCGCGGUGUAGCGGGGAAAUGCAUAGAUAUCGCGCAGAACUCCGAUUGCGAAGGCAGCAUGACGGCUCCACACUGACGCGGAGGCACCAAAGCGUGGGUAUCGAACAGGAUUAGAUACCCCUGUAGUC